rfam:Providencia burhodogranariea DSM 19968 genomic scaffold scaffold00001, whole genome shotgun sequence.
AAUCGUUGGUGGCGUAACUUCCCAAAUUGGGCGGAAAACGCACAUGCAUAAAUUGAUAUGCCUCAGUGCCGAACCCGCCUCUAUCUGCGGGUUUUUUUAU